rnacentral:snRNA from 1 species
AAUCCCCCAUCCCACCCUCCUGAAACUGCAUGUUUGGUUGAAGAGGACAAUCUUCCCCAAACAGAGGAGGACUGGUCUUUGUAUAAGGGGAUACAAGUUGCUGUGCUUCCCUACUAGAACAAGAUAAAAUAUUUUCUAUAAAAUGAUGUAAUGUCUGUACAUCACUUGAUGAUGUCCUCCUAUUUUUGUUAAAUCAUCUCUAGGUGGCUUGUAAUGCAA